GUCAAUAGUCCACUGGGUUGAAGAUGUCAUUGUAAAGUUCUGUCAUUCUGAAAUAGACUUCACAAGAAGUGAAUGUUUGCACAGCUCUUAUUGGAGAGCUGUGAAGGAGUGAUCAGUGAGUCUCUAUUCAGGACGUCAUCUGUCACUGACAUCAUCUCCAACUCAGGAGAAAUGAAGAAGGUAGAGGACUCAUCCUGGGCUGCCCCAGUUGUCUGCAUGCUGCAUCUCUGAGCUCAGCCACUGGGGCCCUGGACAGUUCCCUGCUGUUCAGAUACUGAACUUGGGGCAGGGUAAGACCACCUGUUGGGUCCUGAACAUAAGCUCCACCGGGCUCUGGGCACCGAGCUUGAGGCACAGGAUGGACAGCCAUAGAGGCACUGCCCAUGAGCAGCAUCAAAGCAACACUAUGACCGUUCUGUGGAAGCGAGUCUGGCCAAAGAAGCUGAAGUUUCUCCCCACCCAUCAUGAGGACUUGAAUUCAGUUCCAGGCAUCCACAUGGCAGCUCACAGCCAUCAGAACUCUAGUUCCGGAGGAUUUGACGCCCUCUUCUGGUCUUUUUGGACACUGCAUGAAAGCGAUGCUCAGACCUACACAUGGGAAAAAUAUCCAUGCACAUAAAAUAAAAAUAAAUAAAUAUUUUUAAUUCCAAAACUAAAA